rnacentral:rRNA from 1 species
UACGUAGGGGGCAAGCGUUGUCCGGAUUUAUUGGGCGUAAAGAGCGUGUAGGCGGCCUGGAAGGUCAGCUGUGAAAACUCGAGGCUCAACCUCGAGACGUCGGUUGAAACCGUAUGGCUAGAGUCCGGAAGAGGAGUGUGGAAUUCCUGGUGUAGCGGUGAAAUGCGCAGAUAUCAGGAGGAACACCAAUGGCGAAGGCAGCACUCUGGGACGUGACUGACGCUGAGACGCGAAAGCGUGGGGAGCAAACAGG